rfam:Otolemur garnettii contig123195, whole genome shotgun sequence.
AAGGUGCAUUGUUAGAGCUUGGAGUUUAGGCCACUGAUUGGCUGGUGAACUCACAAGUGUAGGCAAGUUUUUCACUAACUUGAAAGUGAGAGGCAAGUUUUUCACUAACAGCACAAGGGUCUCUGGUCCAAUGAGUGGAGUUUGAUAGUAAUCCCUGCUACAAGU